UAUCUGGUUGAUCCUGCCAGUAUUAUAUGCUGAUGUUAAAGAUUAAGCCAUGCAUGUGUAAGUAUAAAGACCAAGUAGGAUGAAACUGCGGACGGCUCAUUAUAACAGUAAUAGUUUCUUUGGUUAGUAAAAUACAAGGAUAGCUUUGUGAAUGAUAAAGAUAAUACUUGAGACGAUCCAGUUUGUAUUAGUACAAAAUGGCCAAUUCAUUCAAUGAAUUGAGAAAUGACAUUCUAAGUGAGUUAGGAUGCCACGACAAUUGUAGAACACACAGUGUUUAACAAGUAACCAAUGAGAAUUUCUGAUCUAUCAAUCAGUUGGUAGUAUCGAGGACUACCAAGAUUAUAACGGAUAACGAGGAAUUGGGGUUCGACAUCGGAGAGGGAGCUUUACAGAUGGCUACCACUUCUAAGGAAGG
rnacentral:rRNA from 1 species